rnacentral:ncRNA from 25 species
UGCAAUGAUGACAAUCAUGCUGUGCACCAGUCGGAACUUAAAUGACAGACCCAGUAUAUACCCAAAUUUCUGAUU